rnacentral:misc_RNA from 1 species
UCCCGGUUAACCCGGGCAGUCUCAUUAGAGUUCCCACCAUUACGUGUUGGCAACUAAUGAUAAGGGUUGCGCUCGUUGCGGGACUUAACCCAACACCUCACGGCACGAGCUGACGACAGCCAUGCAGCACCUGUGCAGAAGUCCCGAAGGAAGGCGCCAUCUCUGGCGCUGUCUUCUGCAUGUCAAGCCUGGGUAAGGUUCUUCGCGUUGCAUCGAAUUAAACCACAUGCUCCACUGCUUGUGCGGGUCCCCGUCAAUUCUUUUGAGUUUCACCCUUGCGAGUGUACUCCUCAGGCGGCAUACUUAACACGUUAGCUACGGCACAACCGGGGUUAAGUCCGGUUACACCAAGUAUGCAUCGUUUACGGCUAGGACUAC